rnacentral:rRNA from 1 species
AUGCCUAACACAUGCAAGUCGAACGAGACCUUCGGGUCUAGUGGCGCACGGGUGCGUAACGCGUGGGAAUCUGCCCUUGGGUUCGGAAUAACAGUUAGAAAUGACUGCUAAUACCGGAUGAUGACGUAAGUCCAAAAAUUUAUCGCCCAAGGAUGAGCCCGCGUAGGAUUAGCUAGUUGGUGAGGUAAAGGCUCACCAAGGCGACGAUCCUUAGCUGGUCUGAGAGGAUGAUCAGCCACACUGGGACUGAGACACGGCCCAGACUCC